GUUAAGCUACCUACUUCUUUAGCAAGCUACUCCCAUGACGAGUGGCGGACGGGUGAGUAAUGUCUGGGAAACUACCUGAUGGAGGGGGAUAACUACUGGAAACGGUAGCUAAUACCGCAUGGCGUCGCAAGACCAAAGAGGGACUCCUUCGGGCCUCUUGCCAUUUGCUGUGCCCAGAUGGGAUUAGCUAGUAGGUGGGGUAACGGCUCGUGUAGGCGACGAUCCCUAGCUGGUCUGAGAGGAUGACCAGCCACACUUUCCCUGAGACACGGUCCAGACUCCUUUGGGAGGCAGCAGUGGGGAAUAAAGCACAAUGGGCGCGCUCCUUGCGCAGCCAUGCCGAAUGUAUGAAGAAGGCCUUCGGGUUGUGCAGUACUUUCAGCGUUCAGGAAGGCGAUAAGGUUAAUAACCUUGUCUCUUGACGUUACCCGCAGAAGAAGCACCGGCUUGCUCCGUGCCAGCAGCCGCGGUAAUACGGAGGGUGCAAGCGUUCGUCGGAAUUACUGGGCGUAAAGCGCACGCAGGUACUCUGUCAAGUCGGAUGUGAAAUCCCCGGGCUCAACCUCAAAACUGCAUUCGAAACUGGCAGGCUAGAGUCUUGUAGAGGGGGGUAGAAUUCCGUUUGUAGCGGUGAAAUGCGUUCGCAUCUGGAGGAAAGCCGGUGGCGAAGGCGGCCCCCUGGACAAAGGUAGACGCUCAGGUCUCAAAGCGUUUGGAGCAAACAGGAUUCUAUACCCUGGUAGUCCACGCCGUAAACGAUGUCGACUUGGAGGUUGUGCCCUUGAGGCGUGGCUUCCACAGCUAACUUGUUAAGUCGACCGCCUGGGGAGUACGGCCGCAAGGUUAAAACUUGCAUGAAUUGACGGGGGCCCUGGCAAGCGGUGGAGCAUGUGGUUUAAUUCGGGGCAACGCGAAGAACCAAGCCUACUCUUGACAUCCUUCCAACUUGCCAGAGAUGCUUUGGUGCCCGAGGGAACUCUGAGACACAUGCUGCAUGGCUGUCGUCAGCUCGUGUUGUGAAAUGUUGGGUUGCCUCCCGCAACGAGCUCAACCCUUAUCCUUUGUUGUGGGCGGUCAGGCCGGGAACUCAAAGGAGACUGCCAGUGAUAAACUGGAGGAAGGUGGGGAUGACGUCAAGUCCCUAUGGUUUUUACGAGUAGGGAUACACACGUGCUACAAUUGCGCCCCCAAAGAGAAAAUACCUCGCGAGAGCAAGCAAACCUCAUAAAGUAUAUCGUAGUCCGGAUUGGAGUUAACAACUCGACUAAAUGAAGUCGGAAUCGCUAGUAAUCGCAGAUCAGAAUGCAACGGUGAAUACGUUAAAGGGCCUUGUACACACCGCCCGUCACAUGAUGGGAGUGGGGCACAAAAGAAGUAGGCGACGGGGCUGUCGGGC
rnacentral:rRNA from 1 species